rnacentral:lncRNA from 1 species
UCCGGCCUCACCCCCAGCUUCCCAGGCUCCUCCUCCUCCUCCGGCGAUGGCGGUUGGUGCGGAGCAAUUCGACCUACUGGUUCAGCAGGUCAGAGGCCUCACUGAAGCAGUGCAGGCCAUACAGUAGCAACAGCAGCCGCAGGUGUCAGUGCGACUGGAGAGAGCAUCGCCAGAACUCCAAAAUCCGACGGUAGGAUGGGCCACUUGGGCCAGUC